rnacentral:pre_miRNA from 1 species
GGCGAUUGUCGGUAUGGUCUCUUUUUCAACAUAUACACCAAACAUUCUAUAUAAAGUGACUAGACCGAACACUCGUGCU